AAAAUUUAAAAUCAUGCAUAUUUUUGCUUAUAUCUGAUAUCUCUGAAAGUAAAGCAUUUAGAGCAAAUCUGUCAUGGGGUAAAAAUGUUCAGUAGGUUAACAUCUAUCUGCCCAGAAAUGUCCAGACAAAUCAGACAACCUGUUGUUGAGUUGCUGUCCCUGAAUUGGUAAUUGUAAGUACCUUUUAACCUUUAAACUGCUAACAGCAAUAAUGUUCAGAAAAGUAAGAUCUACUAAUAGGUCAACAUGACCAAAGGAGUUUUUGCCCUUUAUAGUCAAUUUUAAACAAUUUUUGGUAAUUUUUGUAAUCUUUCACAAAAAUCUUUUCAACUUAAUCUCACCGGUCAAAAUAGAAUUAAAUAUAGCCAAAAUUUUCAUUUGGGUAUCUUGUUUGAAAAAUGUAUCCGAUGACCCUGCAAUCCAACAAAUAUGGCCACCAUGGCUAAAAAUAGAACAAAGGGGUUUAAUUUAUAUAAUUCUAUUGGAUUAUUGUAAAAAAAAAAAUCAAAUGGUCAGAACUAAUUUAAAUUAUGAUAAGGGGUCUUCAGUAACUAUUGUAGGACUUAUUGGGAUGACCUGCUUUUAAUUUAACUACUGGGCCAAAUUAAACCAAACUUGGUCUCAAUCAUGAAUUAUUGAUUUUACGGGGUAUCUAAUAUUAUUUAUUAUGAAUUAUUUAAUUGAUUUACCAAAUCACAGUAGAUACAGGUGAGAUACACCGGAUCUUGAGAGCCUCUAGUUAUGUUUCCCCAGUAUAUGUAUAUGUAGACAUUACAUACCAUUUUACUUUUUUCCAAUAAAAACUACCAAUAAUACAAUGACAAAGAAACAUAAGGUGUUUAACAAAUUAUUAUAACUUCAGAUUCCAGAUAGAUUAAUUUACAGUUGACACUUUCUUUGUAUGUAUAUAUGCUUCGCCUUGUAUAAAUAGUGUUAGUGUUUCUAAAGGUUGGCUGGUAUAAUAUACAAUUGUAGACGUGUUGGAUCGUUAUCGUGAUGUUAUAGUAUGUAUAUUGUAUCAGGAUGCACUUUAGAUAAUAUAUAUAUCUAUACUUGGGAGUAAGACCCUGUUUCUUUGCAGCAUCACUUCUUGCUACGUAAAAAUUUCAG
rnacentral:lncRNA from 1 species